rnacentral:rRNA from 1 species
ACACUCCUGCGGGAGGCAGCAGUGGGGAAUAUUGCACAAUGGGCGGAAGCCUGAUGCAGCAACGCCGCGUGCGGGAUGACGGCCUUCGGGUUGUAAACCGCUUUCGCCUGUGACGAAGCGUGAGUGACGGUAAUGGGUAAAGAAGCACCGGCUAACUACGUGCCAGCAGCCGCGGUGAUACGUAGGGUGCGAGCGUUGUCCGGAUUUAUUGGGCGUAAAGGGCUCGUAGGUGGUUGAUCGCGUCGGAAGUGUAAUCUUGGGGCUUAACCCUGAGCGUGCUUUCGAUACGGGUUGACUUGAGGAAGGUAGGGGAGAAUGGAAUUCCUGGUGGAGCGGUGGAAUGCGCAGAUAUCAGGAGGAACACCAGUGGCGAAGGCGGUUCUCUGGGCCUUUCCUGACGCUGAGGAGCGAAAGCGUGGGGAGCGAACAGGCUUAGAUACCCUAGUAGUCCCAUG